CUGAGCAACAAUAUCUGAUGCCAUGAUAGGUAUCAUCCUGCUUGUUCUGGGAUGAGUAUUGAACAGGCGAAGCAAUUGGACCUGUUUGUUUGUUCUGAUUGUGCAUCUGUUGAUGUGAAAAAGCCUCCGACCAAAUUAACUGAAUCUCCAGUAAUGAAUGGAAAGUUGGAAACAAAGCGGCAGAAGAAGUAAGCUGGGGAGCACAACGAUGCUGUUGGAGAGAUUGUCAAUUUUCAUUAUUCUGGUGUUGUUGUGAUGUUGUAUAGCUGCGGUGGAUAUAUUUUGUCAUCUCCUGAAUGGGUAAAUUGUAUGGAUAUUAGUAGAUGGCUUUGAAGCUUGUGAUAUGCUCCGAAUGAGCUUCUGCUGUUGCAAAUGUGAAGCCAAAUUUUAGAUAAAUUAACUUUGUUGGUUUUGAAUUUUCGAUGUCGUCAAGCAAAGAAUUUGGGCUUUUACUUUAUUUGGAAAGGCUAAAUUUGCAUUUGAAGAUCGUUUUACUACUA